rnacentral:rRNA from 1 species
GUGAACGCUGGCGGUAGGCCUAACACAUGCAAGUCGAACGGCAGCACAGUAAGAGCUUGCUCUUACGGGUGGCGAGUGGCGGACGGGUGAGGAAUACAUCGGAAUCUACUUUUUCGUUGGGGAUAACGUAGGGAAACUUACGCUAAUACCGCAUACGACCUACGGGUGAAAGCAGGGGAUCUUCGGACCUUGCGCGAUUGAAUGAGCCGAUGUCGGAUUAGCUAGUUGGCGGGGUAAAGGCCCACCAAGGCGACGAUCCGUAGCUGGUCUGAGAGGAUGAUCAGCCACACUGGAACUGAGACAAGGUCCAGACUCCUACGGGAGGCAGCAGUGGGGAAUAUUGGACAAUGGGCGCAAGCCUGAUCCAGCCAUACCGCGUGGGUGAAGAAGGCCUUCGGGUUGUAAAGCCCUUUUGUUGGGAAAGAAAAGCAGCAGGUUAAUACCCCGCUGUUCUGACGGUACCCAAAGAAUAAGCACCGGCUAACUUCGUG